rnacentral:lncRNA from 10 species
AGACGGAGUCUUGCUCUGUCACCCAGGCCGGAAUACAGUGGUGCGAUCUUGGCUUACUGCAAGCUCCACCUCCCUGGUUCACGCCAUUCUCCUGCCUCAGCCUCCUGCGUAGCUGGGACUACGGGCGCCUGCCACCGCGCCCAGCUAAUUUUCCAGUGUCUUUUUAUAAGGCCCUGGUAGCACCAAUGAGUGAACAGUAAUUACUGGUGAAAAACAGAUGUUCAUAGUAUUUGUUUUCCUGGAUGUCAUGUAAGAUAGCUGUAAGUUUCCCUUAUCAAUGUAAGAGCUUAGACCAAGUACAGAGUCUUUAAAAACAAGACAGUAUAUAUUAUGUGAUAUGCAGACUGUAGACCUCGACUUAAAAUGCAGUUCAGUGAAAAACGAAGUUUCUUUUGUCCAGGAUACCGAAACCGUCACUUCCCAUCUCAUCUGAAGAUGAACCAUAUAGCCAUCAGUGCGGCGUCGUUCCUCUGGUUACUUUUAUAGAUGAACACAUAUUCCUUCCAGUCCUUUUCCUCGCCUUCUUCCGCAAGUGUACCGUGGAGUUUUCUAGAUGGCUGUGAUGUGUGAUGAUAGCCUCACUCUGACACCAGUGACUCGUGUGUGUGUGUGUUCCUGUGCUUUGCAGACUCCUCAGCUUUCAUGUCUAACACAGACAAUACUGAGAGAUACAACACACACACACACACACACACACACACACACACACACACACACACAAGCUCUCCAUAGUCCCCAAUUUUAAGAGACUGAAACUUUGAGAAAUGUUUGCACUAAGGCUUCUUCUGGUCUCAGAGCUGAGAACUUUUCAUUGUCAAGGGCAAGGCUGUUUGUCCACUCUGAGAUCCUGUGUGUGGCCCCAGGGGCAGCUCAGACAGGACACUGGCAUCUGGCAUCUGGGGAUCAGAUAUCCCACUGAGAGGGGCAUGCAAGCACCAGCUCCAGUGCCUGGGCUGGCAUCUUCCCUGCCCAGUCUCCAAAGCCAUGUGUCCUGGGCUAGCCCACCUGGCACAGGGAUUUCCUGCAGGACUCCACGUGGCCAGGGGAUCAGUGGUGGGAAAUGGGAGAAGCCAAACUCAGGCUCCAUUGGUUAAUUCUCUUAAAUAAGUCUAAUUUGACUUUAUGUCUGAUUU